CCAUGGCCCUGAUGGAACUGCUGUGGGAAUUACCAGGCUCAUUGUGGCCCUAUGAUGCUGUCCUCUGUGGCUUCCACCUUCUGACUCAUCACUACAGUGCCAAAGUGCCUCCUCAGCCACGGAGCUCGGAAACCCAGUGGGUGUGCCACACUGAGUUGCUGCUCCUAAGUGGAAUUCUCCUUGCUGGUUGCAGAAUUCUCCAUGGGGUGUCCUUCAGCAUGGUUACUGAUUCACUCCAGACGAAAUAAUUUCCAUAUUAAAAUCCAAGGUGUCAAAAGUAUCCACCCCAAGAACUCAAUGCUUGUUUGUCUUGGCUACUCUAAGUUCCUUUUUCAAAUGUUUUGGCUGGCAGCAAUGAUGAUUCUGCCCCUGUACU